rnacentral:rRNA from 1 species
CUCGUAGGCGGUUCGUCGCGUCCGGUGUGAAAGUCCAUCGCUUAACGGUGGAUCCGCGCCGGGUACGGGCGGGCUUGAGUGCGGUAGGGGAGACUGGAAUUCCCGGUGUAACGGUGGAAUGUGUAGAUAUCGGGAAGAACACCAAUGGCGAAGGCAGGUCUCUGGGCCGUCACUGACGCUGAGGAGCGAAAGCAUGGGGAGCGAACA